ACGAACGCUGGCGGCGUGCCUAAUACAUGCAAGUCGAACGCUUCUUUUUCCACCGGAGCUUGCUCCACCGGAAAAAGAGGAGUGGCGAACGGGUGAGUAACACGUGGGUAACCUGCCCAUCAGAAGGGGAUAACACUUGGAAACAGGUGCUAAUACCGUAUAACAAUCGAAACCGCAUGGUUUUGAUUUGAAAGGCGCUUUCGGGUGUCGCUGAUGGAUGGACCCGCGGUGCAUUAGCUAGUUGGUGAGGUAACGGCUCACCAAGGCGACGAUGCAUAGCCGACCUGAGAGGGUGAUCGGCCACAUUGGGACUGAGACACGGCCCAAACUCCUACGGGAGGCAGCAGUAGGGAAUCUUCGGCAAUGGACGAAAGUCUGACCGAGCAACGCCGCGUGAGUGAAGAAGGUUUUCGGAUCGUAAAACUCUGUUGUUAGAGAAGAACAAGGAUGAGAGUAACUGUUCAUCCCUUGACGGUAUCUAACCAGAAAGCCACGGCUAACUACGUGCCAGCAGCCGCGGUAAUACGUAGGUGGCAAGCGUUGUCCGGAUUUAUUGGGCGUAAAGCGAGCGCAGGCGGUUUCUUAAGUCUGAUGUGAAAGCCCCCGGCUCAACCGGGGAGGGUCAUUGGAAACUGGGAGACUUGAGUGCAGAAGAGGAGAGUGGAAUUCCAUGUGUAGCGGUGAAAUGCGUAGAUAUAUGGAGGAACACCAGUGGCGAAGGCGGCUCUCUGGUCUGUAACUGACGCUGAGGCUCGAAAGCGUGGGGAGCAAACAGGAUUAGAUACCCUGGUAGUCCACGCCGUAAACGAUGAGUGCUAAGUGUUGGAGGGUUUCCGCCCUUCAGUGCUGCAGCUAACGCAUUAAGCACUCCGCCUGGGGAGUACGACCGCAAGGUUGAAACUCAAAGGAAUUGACGGGGGCCCGCACAAGCGGUGGAGCAUGUGGUUUAAUUCGAAGCAACGCGAAGAACCUUACCAGGUCUUGACAUCCAACUAACGAGAUAGAGAUAUGUUAGGUGCCCUUCGGGGAAAGUUGAGACAGGUGGUGCAUGGUUGUCGUCAGCUCGUGUCGUGAGAUGUUGGGUUAAGUCCCGCAACGAGCGCAACCCUUAUUGUUAGUUGCCAUCAUUUAGUUGGGCACUCUAGCAAGACUGCCGGUGACAAACCGGAGGAAGGUGGGGAUGACGUCAAAUCAUCAUGCCCCUUAUGACCUGGGCUACACACGUGCUACAAUGGGAAGUACAACGAGUCGCAAAGUCGCGAGGCUAAGCUAAUCUCUUAAAGCUUCUCUCAGUUCGGAUUGUAGGCUGCAACUCGCCUACAUGAAGCCGGAAUCGCUAGUAAUCGCGGAUCAGCACGCCGCGGUGAAUACGUUCCCGGGCCUUGUACACACCGCCCGUCACACCACGAGAGUUUGUAACACCCGAAGUCGGUGAGGUAACCUUUUGGAGCCAGCCGCCUAAGGUGGGAUAGAUGAUUGGGGUG
rnacentral:rRNA from 1 species